rnacentral:rRNA from 1 species
GGACGAACGCUGGCGGCGUGCCUAAUACAUGCAAGUCGAACGGUCUUUCUAUGGAAGCUGCUUCCACUGAAAAGAUAGUGGCGAACGGGUGAGUAACACGUGGGUAACCUGCCCAUAAGAGGGGGGAUAACAUCCGGAAACGGGUGCUAAUACCGCAUAGUUUUCUUGAUCGCAUGAUCGGGAAAGGAAAGACGGCCUUUGUGCUGUCGCUUAUGGAUGGACCCGCGGCGUAUUAGUUAGUUGGUGAGGUAACGGCUCACCAAGACGAUGAUACGUAGCCGACCUGAGAGGGUGAUCGGCCACAUUGGGACUGAGACACGGCCCAAACUCCUACGGGAGGCAGCAGUAGGGAAUCUUCCGCAAUGGACGAAAGUCUGACGGAGCAACGCCGCGUGAGUGAAAGAAGGUUUUCGGAUCGUAAAACUCUGUUGUCAGAGAAGAACAAGUUGGAGAGUAACUGCUCCAGCCUUGACGGUAUCUGACCAGAAAGCCACGGCUAACUACGUGCCAGCCGCCGC